rnacentral:rRNA from 1 species
AUUGAACGCUGGCGGCAGGCCUAACACAUGCAAGUCGAGCGAGCGGCGGACGGGUGCGUACUGUAUGGGGACUGCCCGAUAGAGGGGGAUAACUACUGGAAACGGUAGCUAAUACCGCAUCCUAUCGGAUAACCCAUAUGGGAUUAGCUAGUAGGUGAGGUAAUGGCUCACCUAGGCGACGAUCCCUCGCUGGUCUGAGAGGAGGAUCAGCCACACUGGGACUGAGACACGGCCUAGACUCUCACGGAGGCAGCAGUGGGGAAUAUUGCAAAAGGGGCGAAAGCCUGAUGCAGCACUGCCGCGUGUAUGAAGAAGGACCUAGGGUUGUAAAGUACUUUCAGUCGGGAGGCGUUACCGACAGAAGAAGCACCGGCUAACUCCGUGCCAGCAGCCGCGGUAAUAC